UACGGGGGGGGCAAGCGUUGUUCGGAAUUACUGGGCGUAAAGGGCUCGUAGGUGGCCAACUAAGUCAGACGUGAAAUCCCUCAGCUUAACUGGGGAACUGCGUCUGAUACUGGAUGGCUUGAGUUUGGGAGAGGGAUGCGGAAUUCCAGGUGUAGCGGUGAAAUGCGUAGAUAUCUGGAGGAACACCGGUGGCGAAGGCUGCAUCCUGGACCAACACUGACACUGAUGAGCGAAAGCGUGGGGAGCGAUCCGG
rnacentral:rRNA from 1 species